GGUAGUGAUUUUCUAAAACACUUUCUUACCAGAAUCAACCUUAGUGUUCGUUUAGCCGUGAAUAUCAAACGGCCAUGUGCAGCGGUAGGGGCAAAUGGUGAUAAUAAGUUCUUUGGGAACACUAAAGACCUUUUAAUGGAUGCAGAUCCUACACCGGUCUUUCCCUAUGAUGAGACCAACGUUCUUCGAAGGUGAAAACGAGUCCAGGAACAUUCGAAAGCAUCGGUUAGCAUUAUGGCAGUAAUUCAAGCAUUCGAGCAGAACAACAUUUACAUCUAUACCCCCAAAUAGCAUGCAUCUACUAGAUGUUGCAGUCUUCGAUGAAUAAAAAUGGCCGAAAUCUUGGACAAAUGGAGAAGUGAAACUUUGCAGAGAAGUCCAGCGCCUCAAUUCCUAAAGAAUAUUUUCCUACAUUGUUAACCGUACUAUGGAAUGCUAAAAUACCGAAGAAGUCCAACAAACAAUGAGCCAAGGCCUAAUUGAUGUUCUUCAGGACUUACGUGGUUCUAAUAAAUGUAAUAACGCAUUAUUUGAGGAAGACGAAGACCCAGUCAACAUUGAUUUUUUUCAUGCAAGCGGUAUCAGUCAAUUGUUGCAAGGUUUGAAAAAUUUGCUGGAAAAUCCACCAACCUUGAGGUGAAGUUGCAAGAGAAUGUGACAUAGUAAAAUCUGCAGCUAAGGUUCGGAAAUCAAAAUGGCGUCCACGAACAGGGACGGGAAUCGAGUAACUGUCCAUAGUGAAACAAACGUCACGUUUACUAUUGGAAGAGCAACUUUCGACAUUAAAAUUGAGGAUCAGGUGAUUAUCGGAACGAACAUAAUAGACACUAAGUGCUUCGAGUUAAACAGAGACUCAUUAAUCGCUCUCUAUCAAACCAUGCC